rnacentral:misc_RNA from 1 species
GGCUGAUGCUUUUGAUUUGUUGAAGGAGAUGAGGAGGAAGGGGUGUGAGCCUAAUGCAAAUUCCUAUACUAUUUUGAUUCAGGCACUCAGUGCGCAGGAGAAGAUGGAUGAGGCAAUGAGAGUUUUUGUUGAGAUGGAAAGGAAUGGUUGUGAGGCUGAUAUUGUGACUUAUGCUGCAUUAAUAAGUGGGUUUUGCAAGUGGG